UAGGGAAUCUUCCGCAAUGGGCGAAAGCCUGACGGAGCAACGCCGCGUGAGUGAAGAAGGUUUUCGGAUCGUAAAGCUCUGUUGUUAAGGAAGAACGAGUGUGAGAAUGGAAAGUUCAUACUGUGACGGUACUUAACCAGAAAGGGACGGCUAACUACGUGCCAGCAGCCGCGGUAAUACGUAGGUCCCGAGCGUUGUCCGGAUUUAUUGGGCGUAAAGCGAGCGCAGGCGGUUAGAUAAGUCUGAAGUUAAAGGCAGUGGCUCAACCAUUGUAGGCUUUGGAAACUGUUUAACUUGAGUGCAGAAGGGGAGAGUGGAAUUCCAUGUGUAGCGGUGAAAUGCGUAGAUAUAUGGAGGAACACCGGUGGCGAAAGCGGCUCUCUGGUCUGUAACUGACGCUGAGGCUCGAAAGCGUGGGGAGCGAACAGG
rnacentral:rRNA from 1 species